CGAAAGCCUGACGGAGCAACGCCGCGUGGGGGAGGAAAGUCCUUGGAUUGUAAACCUCUUUUCUCAAGGAAGAAAAAAAUGACGGUACUUGAGGAAUAAGCAUCGGCUAACUCCGUGCCAGCAGCCGCGGUAAUACGGAGGAUGCAAGCGUUAUCCGGAAUCAUUGGGCGUAAAGCGUCCGCAGGUGGUAAUGUAAGUUCUUAGUUAAAGACAGAAGCUCAACUUCUGAAAGGCUAAGAAAACUGCAUAACUAGAGGCAGGUAGGGGUAGCAGGAAUUCCCAGUGUAGCGGUGAAAUGCGUAGAGAUUGGGAAGAACAUCGGUGGCGAAAGCGUGCUACUGGGCUGAGCCUGACACUGAGGGACGAAAGCUAGGGGAGCGAAAGGGAUUAGAUACCCCUGUAGUCCUAGCCGUAAACGAUGGAAACUAGGCGUAGCUUGUAUCGACCCAAGCUGUGCCGAAGCCAACGCGUUAAGUUUCCCGCCUGGGGAGUACGCACGCAAGUGUGAAACUCAAAGGAAUUGACGGGGGCCCGCACAAGCGGUGGAGUAUGUGGUUUAAUUCGAUGCAACGCGAAGAACCUUACCAAGGCUUGACAUCUGACGAAUCUCCGKGAAAGGGGAGAGUGCCUUCGGGAGCGUCAAGACAGGUGGUGCGUGGCUGUGCUCAGCUCGUC
rnacentral:rRNA from 1 species